rnacentral:sRNA from 1 species
GUAUAGGCUGUGUUGUCACGCCGGUGUCAGUCUGAUGAAGAUUGGCAUCAGGUGAAGUCUGGAGCAGGACUUCUGAGGCUUUCUAUCCUCCAUGCUGCUCACUAGAAAAGGGGCUGUGAACUGUGCUUUGGCUCUAGCAGACAGGAAGAAAUUCUGGCCCAGCUGGAAGUAGAAAGAGGGGAGUGAGUCUCCUGAGGACCAUCUCAGAGGCCCCGGGAUCACCCAAACAGUCCUCCAUGUGAAUCAAUCCCAUGAUGCAACAUGCCUCCCCAGCCCCCGCUCUGACGAUGAUGGCCACGCAGAAUGUCCCGCCCCCACCCUACCAGGACAGCCCACAGAUGACGGCAACCGCCCAGCCACCCUCCAAGGCCCAGGCUGUCCACAUCUCUGCCCCCUCAGCUGCUGCCAGCACACCUGUGCCCAGUGCCCCCAUCGACCCCCAGGCCCAGCUGGAGGCUGACAAGCGAGCUGUAUACAGAUGGUGAAGGCAAUCCAGGUCCUGAGAAUCCACCUUCUGGAGCUGGAGAAAGUCAAUGAACUCUGCAAGGACUUUUGUAACCGUUACAUCACCUGCCUCAAAACCAAGAU